rnacentral:rRNA from 1 species
GAUGAACGCUGGCGGCGUGCCUAAUACAUGCAAGUCGAGCGAACAGACGAGGAGCUUGCUCCUCUGACGUUAGCGGCGGACGGGUGAGUAACACGUGGAUAACCUACCUAUAAGACUGGGAUAACUUCGGGAAACCGGAGCUAAUACCGGAUAAUAUAUUGAACCGCAUGGUUCAAUAGUGAAAGACGGUUUUGCUGUCACUUAUAGAUGGAUCCGCGCCGCAUUAGCUAGUUGGUAAGGUAACGGCUUACCAAGGCAACGAUGCGUAGCCGACCUGAGAGGGGGAUAGGCCACACUGGAGCUGAGACACGGUCCAGGCUCCUACGGGAGGCAGCAGUCGGGAAUCUUCCGCAAUGGGCGAAAGCCUGACGGGGCAACGCCGCGUGAGAGAUGAAGGUCUUCGGAUCGUAAAACUCUGUUAUUAGGGAAAAACAAAUGUGUAAGUAACUAUGCACGUCUUGACGGUACCUAAUCAGAAAGCCACGGCUAACUACGUG